rnacentral:rRNA from 1 species
GCUUGUCUCAAAGAUUAAGCCAUGCAUGUCUCAGUAUAAGUUCCUGUACGGCGAAACUGCGAAUGGCUCAUUAAAACAGUUAUAGUUUAUUUGAUGGUCGUUCCUUACAUGGAUAACUGUGGUAAUUCUAGAGCUAAUACAUGCGUAAAGUCCCGACUCUUUCUGGGGAGGGAUGUAUUUAUUAGAUAAAAAACCAAUGCGGGUUCUGCCCGGUUUUGUGUUGAAUCAUAGUAACUUUUCGAAUCGCAUGGCUUCACGCCGGCGAUAGUUCAUUCAAAUUUCUGCCCUAUCAGCUUUCGACGGUAGUGUAGUGGACUACCGUGGCGUUAACGGGUAACGGAGAAUUAGGGUUCGAUUCCGGAGAGGGAGCCUGAGAAACGGCUACCACAUCUAAGGAAGGCAGCAGG